rnacentral:rRNA from 1 species
GCCUCCUACGGGACGCAGCAGUGAGGAAUAUUGGUCAAUGGUCGGGAGACUGAACCAGCCAAGCCGCGUGAGGGAUGAAGGUACAGAGUAUCGUAAACCUCUUUUGUCAGGGAACAAAGGCGGGGACGCGUCCCCGGAUGAGUGUACCUGAAGAAAAAGCAUCGGCUAACUCCGUGCCAGCAGCCGCGGUAAUACGAAGGGUGCAAGCGUUAUCCGGAUUUAUUGGGCGUAAAGGGCUCGUAGGCGGUUCGUAGCGUCCGGUGUGAAAGUCCAUCGCUUAACGGUGGAUCCGCGCCGGGUACGGG